rnacentral:rRNA from 1 species
CACGUAGGGUGCGAGCGUUGUCCGGAAUUAUUGGGCGUAAAGAGCUCGUAGGCGGUGUGUCGCGUCGGCCGUGAAAACCUGCAGCUUAACUGUGGGCUUGCGGUCGAUACGGGCAUCACUGGAGUUCGGUAGGGGAGACUGGAAUUCCUGGUGUAGCGGUGAAAUGCGCAGAUAUCAGGAGGAACACCGGUGGCGAAGGCGGGUCUCUGGGCAACAACUGACGCUGAGGAGCGAAAGCGUGGGGAGCGAACAGG